GGGUGGAAAGUGGCGAGCGACUCUCUGGUCUGUAACUGACGCUGAGGAGCGAAAGCGUGGGGAGCGAACAGGAUUAGAUACCCUGGUAGUCCACGCCGUAAACGAUGAGUGCUAAGUGUUAGGGGGUUUCCGCCCCUUAGUGCUGCAGCUAACGCAUUAAGCACUCCGCCUGGGGAGUACGGUCGCAAGACUGAAACUCAAAGGAAUUGACGGGGGCCCGCACAAGCGGUGGAGCAUGUGGUUUAAUUCGAAGCAACGCGAAGAACCUUACCAGGUCUUGACAUCCUCUGACAAUCCUAGAGAUAGGACGUCCCCUUCGGGGGCAGAGUGACAGGUGGUGCAUGGUUGUCGUCAGCUCGUGUCGUGAGAUGUUGGGUUAAGUCCCGCAACGAGCGCAACCCUUGAUCUUAGUUGCCAGCAUUCAGUUGGGCACUCUAAGGUGACUGCCGGUGACAAACCGGAGGAAGGUGGGGAUGACGUCAAAUCAUCAUGCCCCUUAUGACCUGGGCUACACACGUGCUACAAUGGACAGAACAAAGGGCAGCGAAACCGCGAGGUUAAGCCAAUCCCACAAAUCUGUUCUCAGUUCGGAUCGCAGUCUGCAACUCGACUGCGUGAAGCUGGAAUCGCUAGUAAUCGCGGAUCAGCUGCCCGGGGGUGAAUACGUUUCCCGGGCCUUGUACACACCGCCCGUCACACCACGAGAGUUUGUAACACCCGAAGUCGGUGAGGUAACCUUUUAGGAGCCAGCCGCCGAAGGUGGGACAGAUGAUUGGGGUGACUAAAAAGGGAAAAUG
rnacentral:rRNA from 1 species